CCUAGGGGGGUAGCAGUAGGGAAGUGUGCGCAAGGGGCGAAAGCCGGACGCAGUAACGACGCGUGAACGAGACGCCAUUCGGGGUGUAAAGAUCUGUCAGUGGGGACGAAAAAUGACGGUACCCACAGAGGAAGCACCGGCUAACUCCGUGCCAGCAGCCGCGGUAAUACGGAGGGUGCAAGCGUUGUCCGGAAUCAUUGGGCGUAAAGAGUUCGUAGGCGGCAUGUAAAGUCAGGUGUUAAAGGCGCAGGCUCAACCUGUGUAUGGCACUUGAUACUUGCAAGCUGGAAUGCGGUAGAGGUAAAGGGAAUUCCUGGUGUAGCGGUGAAAUGCUUAGAUAUCAGGAGGAACAUCGGUGGCGUACGCGCUUUACUGGGCCGUAAUUGACGCUGAGGAACGAAAGCCAGGGUAGCAAAUGGGAUUAGAUACCCCAGUAGUC
rnacentral:rRNA from 1 species